AAAAAUCCAUCCACUUAAUAAAAUAAACACUAAAUAAUAACCCAAAAGAGCCAUCAUUUCACGCAACUCACUUCUUCUUCUUCAUGGUUUCAACAUGGAGUUGGAACAUCGAGUAGAAAAAAUAAAAAAUCUCAAAGAAAGGGAUUCAUCUCUUCUCCUCAAUUAUUGUUUAACGUGGAACUGAAUCACUGCCGGGGUAUUGCACAGAAAAUGAGAGAAAAUGAGGCAUAACUCUAAAUGAAUUUAGUGACUGGAACUCUUUUUCAUAAUCAAAUGGAAAUAAAGUAGGAGAGGCUGAGGGCGAAGUUCCAGGAAGCGUUGCUGCUAUAUUUACAAGGCCCAAAUUUAUGGAAUAGCUUCUUGAUUGUUUUUGGGUGAAUGGGUGAAGAAAUGAAUUGGUACUUUAGCGUGAAAUGAUGGUCUGAGGGUUUUGGUUAGUGUUUCGUGUUUAUUUUAUUAAGUGGGUCUGUUUUUAUUUAGCAAGUUCGAUCGGGUCGGGUGUAUGGGUAGAUUUUUUAUGUUUUGUUUGGAUAUUAUUUGGCAAAAUAAUAAAAAAUUUCCGCGAGGACUGCUAUGUCAUUUCAUUCCA